AUCCAGCUGACGAGUCCUGAAUAGGACGAAACGCGUGUCCUGGAU
rnacentral:hammerhead_ribozyme from 1 species